UGUGGUGAUGAUGGCUUGAAGGAUACACCUGUUCCAUGCCGAACACAGAAGUUAAGCUUCAACACGCCGAAAGUAGUUGGGGAUCGCUCCCUGCGAGGAUAGGACGUUGCCAUGC
rnacentral:rRNA from 1 species